rnacentral:rRNA from 1 species
GAUGAACGCUGGCGGCGUGCCUAAUACAUGCAAGUCGAGCGAACAGACGAGGAGCUUGCUCCUCUGACGUUAGCGGCGGACGGGUGAGUAACACGUGGAAACCCCCCUUUAAAUACUGGGAUAAUUAGGGGAAACGGGCUCAAAUCCGGUAUAAGAUCCUGAUCCGCUGGGUUCAUUGGUAAAGUUCGGUUUUGCGGUAUCUACUAGAGGCAUCUCCGUCGCUUUAGUUAGUUGUUAAGGUAACGGCUUACCAAGGCAAGGAUGCGUAGCCGACCUGAGAGGGUGAUCGGCCACACUGGAACUGAGACACGGUCCAGACUCCUACGGGAGGCAGCAGUAGGGAAUCUUCCGCAAUGGGCGAAAGCCUGACGGAGCAACGCCGCGUGAGUGAAGAAGGUCUUCGGAUCGUAAAACUCUGUUAUUAGGGAAGAACAAAUGUGUAAGUAACUAUGCACGUCUUGACGGUACCUAAUCAGAAAGCCACGGCUAACUACGUG